GACUUUUUUGGUUCCAGAACAGCCGAUUAGUGUUACUUUGAUCAGCUCUGAGUUCAAUCACCCUCAGUCCAUGACUCAGUACUCUGACCUGUUUGCUGAGCCAGAAAAGCUGAGAUUCCAUCAUCUGAGGGUUAACAUACUCAGAGGUGAUAACAGUGAUUCCUGGAAGAGGCUGGAGGUACAUUUUCAUCUCAUUUUAGCUAUUUUGCUUUCUUUUUGUAUCUAUUCUAGUUCCAUUUGUUCGAUAAUGUUCUGCAUCUUUUGUAGGCAUCGGGUUUAUUACUCUUUUCUUCUCAAUUAAUAUUUAUUGUAUAGUUAGAUGUUUUGUAUCUGUAUGUAAUAUCUUUCUUUCUGUUGGUUGACAUUUUGCAUCCCUAUGUUACUCAUGGUUAUUAUGCACGUCAUUUAGCAGUCAAUUUAUGUCUUUGUAUAUCUUUUUGUGCCUAUUUUGCAUCCCUUUGUAGUACUUUUGCAUUUUUUGGUAGAUUUUUCUGCAACAGUAGAAGAGCUUUGUCGUCGUCCUGUCUCAUUAUAGCCAUUUUCACUCUUUUUUUGUCAUUUUGAAUCACUUCAUAUCACUUUAUGUGUCUUUCUGUCAUAUUUGCAUCUUACAUUUCUAACUUCCUGCCUCCGUUUGUAGUGUUUUGGUGUCUCUUUUUAGUUAUUUUAACAGUGCUUUGAAUUUUAUUCUCUAUGGUAAUUUGGAACAGUUUUGCAUCAUUUUGUUUUCAUUUCUCCUUUGUAAUGUGUGUGCAUCUUUGGCAAGUCUAAACCACUUUGUAUCUUCUUGGUCAUUUGGUCUGAAUCUGUAGUUGCAUUAUUAUGUAGGUACUUGGCAUUUCUUUAAGGUAAUUUUUCAUCCUCCUAUAGUCCCGUUACAUCUUUACAAUAAUUUUUUAAUAUAUAAUUAUUGUCAUUUGGCAUCCCUCUGUAAUCAUCUGUUAUCUCCUUUGUAGUUAUUUUGUAUCUCAUUUUGAUGUCUAGCUGCUUUAUUUUCUCUCGGCAGUCAUUUCCCAACUGUUUAUAAUUGUUUUGCAUUUCUUUGGAUUAGCUUUGCACCUUAGUGGCCCUCUGUACUUGUUCUGUGUUUUGUAAUCAUUUGGUUAACUUUCCAACAAAAAACCUUGAGUCUAAGCAUAGGCUCUGUGCCUGUCAAGUGCUUGAAGUAAUCCUUAAAAAGUACAGAGUUCUUGUAACAACA